CAGUAGCCGCGGUAAUACGGAGGGUGCAAGCGUUAAUCGGAAUUACUGGGCGUAAAGCGUGCGUAGGCGGUUCGUUAAGUCUGUUGUGAAAGCCCCGGGCUCAACCUGGGAAUGGCAAUGGAUACUGGCGAGCUAGAGUGUGUCAGAGGAUGGUGGAAUUCUUGGUGUAGCGGUGAAAUGCGUAGAUAUCAAGAGGAACACCUGAGGUGAAGACGCGUUGCUGGGCUGAUACUGACGCUGAGGCGCGAAAGCUAGGGUAGCAAACGGGAUUAGAUACCCCAGUAGUCCCUGUCUCUUAUAC
rnacentral:rRNA from 1 species